rnacentral:rRNA from 1 species
GACGAACGCUGGCGGCGUGCUUAACACAUGCAAGUCGAACGACGUGGCGAACGGGUGAGUAACGCGUAAUCAACCUGCCCUUCAGAGGGGGACAACAGUUGGAAACGACUGCUAAUACCGCAUAAUGAAGGAGGGGAUUGCGUCUGAUUAGCUAGUUUGCGGGGUAACGGCCCACCAAGGCGAUGAUCAGUAGGCGGUCUGAGAGGAUGGACGGCCACAUUGGGACUGAGACACGGCCCAGACGCCUACGGGAGGCAGCAGUGGGGAAUCGUCCGCAAUGGACGAAAGUCUGACGGGGCAACGCCGCGUGAGUGGUGACGGCCUUCGGGUUGUAAAGCUCUGUUAAUCGGGACGCGGUACCGGAAUAGAAAGCCACGGCUAACUACGUGCCAGCAGCCGCGGUAAUAC